AAACGUAAUAACACUCGAAUCGAAAUCCCAACCCUACAGAGCGAGUAGCGCAGCAGCGUGCCCUUCCCCAGCAUAUAUAUCAGCGUUGAGUAACUUAGCAAACAUAACAUUAUCUCAUCACAAAUUUACGAAUAUGGAGCCAAGGGAAGAAGACUCCAACACAAACAACUACAAUCUCUACGACGCUUACAAUGAGCUUCAUGGAUUGGCGCAGGAGCUGGAGAUGCCAUUCGACGCACCGGCUGUGCUUGUAGUUGGUCACCAGACUGACGGCAAGAGUGCUCUUGUCGAAGCUCUCAUGGGCUUUCAAUUCAAUCAUGUUGGUGGUGGCACCAAGACCCGUCGCCCCAUUACUCUUCACAUGAAAUACGAUCCUCUCUGUGAGGUUCCUUUGUGCCAUCUCGUCUCUGAUCAUGAUCCCUCCAUUGCUCACGAGAAGUCUCUCCAAGAAAUUCAGGCAUAUAUUGAAGCUGAAAACAUGAGGUUGGAGCAGGAAUCUAAUCAGUUUUCUAACAAGGAAAUAAUUAUUAAGGUGGAAUACAAAUAUUGUCCCAACCUUACUGUCAUAGACACUCCUGGGCUUGUUGCUCCUGCACCAGGUCGAAAAAACCGGGCAUUGCAGGCUCAAGCUCGUGCAGUUGAGUCCUUAGUGCGAGCGAAAAUGCAACAUAGAGAGUUCAUUAUAUUAUGCCUUGAAGACUGCAGUGAUUGGAGCAAUGCAACUACGAGGCGUGUGGUUAUGCAAAUUGAUCCUGAGCUUACAAGAACUGUUAUCGUCUCAACCAAGCUUGAUACAAAAAUUCCCCAAUUUGCACAUUCUUCAGAUGUGGAAGUUUUCCUUUCACCUCCUGCUUCUACACUUGAUGGCUUCCUAUUGGGUGACUCUCCCUUUUUCACAUCAGUUCCUUCUGGAAGAGUUGGUAUUGGACAUGAUUCAGUUUACAGGUCAAAUGAAGAGUUCAAACAGGCUAUAUCUUUGAGAGAGAUGGAAGAUAUUACUUCUUUGGAAGAGAAGUUAGGCAGGCCACUGUCAAAGCAAGAAAGAAGUCGAAUUGGUGUGAGCAAACUUAGAUUAUUUUUGGAAGAACUUCUGCAAAGAAGGUACAUGGAUAGUGUUCCUAAAAUAAUUCCACUUCUUGAGAAGGAGUACUGCAGCACAAUAAGAAAACUGAAUGAAAUAAACAAGGAACUCAGCACUUUGGAUGAAGUUAAACUAAAGGAAAAAGCAAGAAUUUUUCAUGAUCUAUUCUUGACCAAGUUGUCGUUGCUAUUGAAAGGAACAGUUGUUGCACCUCCAGAUAAAUUUGGCGAAACACUCCAAGAUGAGAGAACUAGUGGAGGUGCAUUCAUUGGAACAGAUGGUAUUCAGUUGCCACACAAGCUGAUACCUAAUGCAGGAAUGCGUCUUUAUGGGGGUGCGCAAUAUCAUCGGGCCAUGGCUGAAUUUCGUUUUGUGGUUGGAGGAAUGAAAUGCCCUCCAAUUACACGAGAAGAAAUUGUAAAUGCUUGUGGAGUUGAAGAUAUUCAUGAUGGAACAAACUAUUCUAGAACGGCUUGUGUUAUAGCUGUUGCAAAGGCCCGUGAUACAUUUGAACCAUUUCUUCAUCAGUUGGGCUUUAGGCUUUUGCACAUUCUGAAAAGAUUGCUCCCUAUAUCCAUCUAUCUUCUACAGAAAGAUGGUGAGUAUCUGAGUGGCCAUGAGGUAUUUCUACGGCGUGUUGCUUCUGCCUUCAAUCACUUUGCUGAAUCUACAGAAAGAUCGUGCCAUGAAAAAUGUAUGGAGGAUUUGUUGAGCACUACCCGUUAUGUUUCAUGGUCGCUCCACAAUAAGAAUCGUGCCGGAUUACGUCAAUUCUUAGACUCAUUUGGUGGAACAGAGCAGUCCACUGUGCUAAUUAAUUCCAUGUCAGCAGACACAUCUCCAGGACCAUCAAUUGGGUUAGUUGGUAAUGAGAAGCAUGACACUAAACCCAGAACAGAUGUAAAGCUCAGUCAUUUAGCCUCAAGCACUGAUUCAAGCUCUUGCAUUCAAACAACAGAAACAAGGUUGGCGGACCUUCUAGAUAACACCCUCUGGAAUCGAAGACUUGCACCUUCAUCUGAGAGGAUUGUCUACGCUUUAGUGCAACAGAUAUUCCUUGGAAUAAAAGAAUACUUUUUGGCUUCUGCUGAAUUAAAGUUCAACUGUUUUCUUCUAAUGCCAGUGGUCGACAAAUUGCCUGCACUCUUAAGGGAGGACCUAGAAUCUGCAUUUGAAGAUGACUUGGAUAAUGUGUUUGACAUCACCAACUUGCGACAUUCACUGAGCCAACAGAAGCAGGAUGCAGAGAUUGAACUGAAAAGGAUUAAGAGGCUCAAAGAGAAAUUCAAAUUGAUAAACAAGCACCUUAGUUUGCAUCAAACUGUGUGAAGUUUGUCGCUAUCUCAAUCUGCUUAACUUCUGGUUCAACUUCGUAUCAAAUGAACAAAUUAGAAAAUGAGAGACACCCAUGGUCAGUUCUGUACAUGCACUUGCUGUACUGGACAGACGAAGAAACCAUGCCAAAGCAUCUGCAUCAAAGGGCUUAGAUGCCUCUCAGGUGCAGAGCCCUAGGGAAAUUGUUGUAGGACCAACAGAUUCUGGCAAGAGCACUUUGACAAUUAUGCUUCCUAGUUGUGCAGCUAAACAAGGUUGGAAGCCUACAUAUGUUGACCUGGAUAUUGGCCAAGUACAGACCUGGAAAUGAAGAGCUGCACUGAAUGUGGCUGCAGUAGUCUUCUGCUCAAGCCUACUAGAAAAUGGAUGCACAAGUGCUAGGGGUGAAGUUUGUAAUGCUAGACUUUGUAUAGAAUUGCAGUCUCAACAAGUGUAAUAGAAGGAAAUUGUAUUGAGCAAAUAUUUCUUCAAUAAAACAAAGUGUUUGUGUUAGGACUCAUAUAUUUAUUUCCUACAGGAAAAGAGAGGGUAUAAAAGGGAAAUGCAAAAUCGGGAGGUUGCUAUCCUAAUGCAAAACUAGCCACUAAAAAUAUGAAAUGUGGCAAAACAGGGGAAGGAGAGAAAGAAGUAGUUGUGGAAAGAGUUGAAAAAGGAAAGCAGGUGCUGGAAAGGGAGGUAGGUGAAAAAACUAAGGAAAAGUGGGGAGAGAGUGGUUCUCUCGGAAGCUAAGCACGCACAGUGGGGACUCAACUGAGUUUUUGUGUAAUCUGUUGUGAUUGUUUUUGUUGUUGGAAUUAUAAUUGAUUAGCAAUAGCAAAUGAAAAUAGUCAUUGUAUUGAG